rnacentral:rRNA from 1 species
AGGACGAACGCUGGCGGCGUGCUUAACACAUGCAAGUCGAGCGGUAAGGCCUUUCGGGGUACACGAGCGGCGAACGGGUGAGUAACACGUGGGUGAUCUGCCCUGCACUCUGGGAUAAGCCUGGGAAACUGGGUCUAAUACCGGAUAUGACCUGCUCUCGCAUGGGGGGUGGGUGGAAAGAUUUAUCGGUGCAGGAUGGGCCCGCGGCCUAUCAGCUUGUUGGGUGGGUAAUCGGCCUACCAAGGCGACGACGGGUAGCCGACCUGAGAGGGUGACCGGCCACACUGGGACUGAGACACGGCCCAGACUCCUACGGGAGGCAGCAGGUGGGAAUAUUGCACAAUGGGACGAAAGCUGAUGCAGCGACGCCGCGGUGGGGAGUGACGGUCGUUCGGAUUACGUUAAACCCCUUUCGAAGGUAGGGACGAAGCGACGAAGUGACGGUAACCUGACGAAGAAAGAAGACGAACCCGGACGUAACUACGUCGCCAGCGAGCCGAC